UGCAUGCUUUUCAAUUCAAUUUUCAAUUUCAAAAUCAAUGAUAUGGAAAAAAUCACAUACAAAAUGAAGUCACUUUUUCGUGUUUAAGCCAAACGGAUACGCUGAAGAAAUCAAAAUUUCGAGUGCGCAGUCAAACGGCCAAAUGCAGCUUUUGCAAUUCCGCACAAGGAAUGCAAAGCACCAUGUAUUGCGAAUUGAAAAAGAAAUCAAAUUGAAUACUAAGGUGGCCACAAAUAAAAAAGUCGUCUGCGAUGCCGUGCUGACAUACACCCAACCAGCAGCAAUGGCAAUAGAACAACCAUGCCAGUGAGUGCUGAUAGCAAUGCACCCACAAUAAGUAAUAAGGGGCCGUCUCGAACUUUAGAGAUAUGCUUCCAACAGAUAUGCUUUCUUGGCACCACCCCAUAAGGCCGAAGACAUAGGACUAUCGAAUCAGUGGCUGAGCAGCCCAUUUCAUCUCUAGAAGGAAACCGAAAAAUGCAAAGAACAAUGCCCCCACAUCGUGCUGAUUAGAAUAGACGACGUCCAACUUGGGUAGGACUAUGUGGCUCCUAGCCAAUAAUGUGCCCACCUACAGGGACAUCGUACAGAAACUGGAAGAAUAAAAAAUUAAGUUAUACUUAUAUCAGCUGCAGGAGGAUAAGCCCUAUCGCAUAGUAACCACGGAGGCCUGUGGUGGACCACUCCACACCGAGGGUUCAUCACCUGCAGAGCCAGGGUCAUACCGUUCUCUACGUACACUAUCCGAACAGCAGUCACCAAGGGGCCCAUGAAUAUUCACUUUUUUAACUUGCUGUCGGCGGCUAACAGCAAGGGGGCUCUUACCAUCAGGAAGCUGUGCAGCAGGUGGUCAAGUUCGAGACUACUCGAAGCCGGGAUGUGGUGCAAUGCCAUAGAUCUCAGGAGUACGGGCAUACGGCCACAUACUGUGGGAAAAAACACAAAUGCGUUAAAUGUAAGCUGGAUCAUCGAACUGCUGAUUGCGCACGGCUCAAUGAAGUUUCGGCAACAUGCGCCCACUGUGAUGGUAACCACCCUGCCAACUAUAAGGACUGCGAGUGCUUCGCUGAAUAUAUAAUGCGAUAGCCCUAACAGCCGCUGCCACCAGAAGGGGACUAGCUGCAUUCAGCAAAGAGAACAACGCCCCAGCUAUAGCCUGCGAAAAGGACCAGUGCACGCGACUUUUGAUUGCUGAAUGAAUAUUGACUCCUUAUAACCUGCAGCAACCCGUUAGGCCCAAAGGAUAUGCUUCCAACAGAUAUGCUUUCUUGGCACCACCCCAUAAGGCCGAAGACAUAGGACUAUCGAAUCAGUGGCUGAGCAGCCCAUUUCAUCUCUAGAAGGAAACCGAAAAAUGCAAAGAACAAUGCCCCCACAUCGUGCUGAUUAGAAUAGACGACGUCCAACUUGGGUAGGACUAUGUGGCUCCUAGCCAAUAAUGUGCCCACCUACAGGGACAUCGUACAGAAACUGGAAGAAUAAAAAAUUAAGUUAUACUUAUAUCAGCUGCAGGAGGAUAAGCCCUAUCGCAUAGUAACCACGGAGGCCUGUGGUGGACCACUCCACACCGAGGGCUCAUCACCUGCAGAGCCAGGGUCAUACCGUUCUCUACGUACACUAUCCGAACAGCAGUCACCAAGGGGCCCAUGAAUAUUCACUUUUUUAACUUGCUGUCGGCGGCUAACAGCAAGGGGGCUCUUACCAUCAGGAAGCUGUGCAGCAGGUGGUCAAGUUCGAGACUACUCGAAGCCGGGAUGUGGUGCAAUGCCAUAGAUCUCAGGAGUACGGGCAUACGGCCACAUACUGUGGGAAAAAACACAAAUGCGUUAAAUGUAAGCUGGAUCAUCGAACUGCUGAUUACGCACGGCUCAAUGAAGUUUCGGCAACAUGCGCCCACUGUGAUGGUAACCACCCUGCCAACUAUAAGGACUGCGAGUGCUUCGCUGAAUAUAUAAUGCGGUAGCCCUAACAGCCGCUGCCACCAGAAGGGGACUAGCUGCAUUCAGCAAAGAGAACAACGCCCCAGCUAUAGCCUGCGAAAAGGACCAGUGCACGCGACUUUUGAUUGCUGAAUGAAUAUUGACUCCUUAUAACCUGCAGCAACCCGUUGGGCCCAAAGGGUAAAUGUUUGGCAAGCCCGUACACUUGUAUAUGUAGGUUAACUGACUGAUCACUUAAAUGAUUUUAUGAGUAGCGGGUCUUUAUGCAAAAAUUAAAACCUUUAAAAUAUUCAAAUAUACCAAACAAAAACAAGUAAGAGGUUCUAGUCGGAAGAUCCCGUUUAGGGGAUACUCUGAACUCUCUUAUUCCAACACCAAAUGCAGCUCGCGCUACGCGCUCGUUUGUAUUAAAAAGGAUAAUAUAAAAAAAUGUUACAUUGCUUGCUGACGACUCACCAGCCAAAAAAAAAAGUUUCUCCGGUUGGGCUCGAGCUCGCGACAGACCGCACCACAUGCCACCGCCUCUACUCAAAAGCCACACCAAAAGUUGAAUUUCAGUGAGAAAAAACGAAUUUAAAUGGCAGCACAGAAAACAAUACAAUGGGAAUUACAAUGAUAGAAUUCAAAUUAUAUCUAUUUUAUAGUAUAUAAUUAUAGUAUUAAUAAUUUUAUUGCCUUAUAUUAAUAAGCUUUUUCAUUCACUGUUCAAUUCCAGCCCGAGGUAAUGAACACGAACAUAAUUAAAUUUUAUGUUGCACCUAUGAACUGUUCAUUCACACCAUUUCGUGUGUGUGUCUCUGUUUAGAGCUCGAAAUUCAGAAACCCCAAAAACUUCAUAUCUUGUCGAAGUCAGGUAACAGGUACAUAUGUAUAAAUGUUUCUAUUCAUAAACAAAAUAAGUGUGUGUGCUGGAAUAGCAGGUCCAAGGAAUAUUAAAUGCACACAUUCCAACGCUCAGGUACCCUUACUAUCGAUACCGAGCAUAAAUACAAGAACUUCGCAACGACAUGGCACAACCCUUCAUUAUUUCAUAUAACUCGUCCCUUCAAAAGGGCAGAAAUGAUUCCGACAUUAGAUAAAAAAUUGAAUUUGUGUGUAUUGUUGCUCGUGCGGAAACAUACACACACAUACAUAAUGAAGUAGCACUGAGAGUAAGACAAUGCAGUUUCCUGAAGUGGGGUCGAAAUAAAAAAUGGCGAUGCCUUUCUAUUGCACAAAUCAUAAGUAUGAAAGUAAGCCAAAGCAGCUUCCUGUAGUGGGAGCGAGAAAAAGACAGCGAUGCCGUUCUACUACACAAAUCAUAUGUAUUACUUACUCCCCUUGCUGUCUAAGCAUGCAUCAUAGUUAGGGCAGCAAUCUCCCCUGUUCUCAAAAUGAAGGUGGGUGUCCCUUAAGGAAACGUAUUAGGCACCUUUCUCUACAAUUUGUACACGGCAGACAUCCCCACUCUGUAUGACAUACUCGUGUUUGCUACCCCAAGCCAACACCUGAUGGCCACUGCGAGAAUGAAGCCACUGACGGGGCCAACGAAUACAAUCACUUGCUUGAGAGAUGGGCACGAAGGUGACGAGGAGACGAUGCAGUCUUUUCAUAUUUUUCCACGAUAAAGCCUCAUGGCCCAACCAAGCUUGACGAAAUAUCACACGAGACAAUCUAAUAAACGUUUAUAAUAAAAAGGGAGAAGAUGAACGUA
rnacentral:sRNA from 1 species